UACGAAGGGGGCUAGCGUUGCUCGGAAUCACUGGGCGUAAAAGGUGCGUAGGCGGGUCUUUUAAGUCAGGGGUGAAAUCCUGGAGCUCAACUCCAGAACUGCCUUUGAUACUGAAGAUCUUGAGUUCGGGAGAGGUGAGUGGAACUGCGAGUGUAGAGGUGAAAUUCGUAGAUAUUCGCAAGAACACCAGUGGCGAAGGCGGAUCUCUGGACAAAUCCGUGACGCUGAGGCGACGAAGGCUAGGGGAGCAAACGGGG
rnacentral:rRNA from 1 species